UACGGAGGGUGCGAGCGUUGUCCGGAAUCACUGGGCGUAAAGGGCGCGUAGGCGGCUUGGUAAGUAGGGGGUGAAAUCCUGCGGCUUAACCGCAGGGCUGCCUUCUAAACUGCCAGGCUCGAGCACAGUAGAGGCAGGUGGAAUUCCCGGUGUAGCGGUGGAAUGCGUAGAGAUCGGGAAGAACAUCGGUGGCGAAGGCGGCCUGCUGGGCUGUUGCUGACGCUGAGGCGCGACAGCGUGGGGAGCAAACAGG
rnacentral:rRNA from 1 species